AAUAUACCAAAUGUAAACAUUUUUAUUUAAAAUGUAACCGUCUUCUGAUUAUAAUCCCCUCAACUCAUGACUGCAGAGACUUCCAGUCUGAAGCACGGCAGGCUCCAGUCCAGACAGAGAUGCUGUUGGUCUGCAGGCUCUCUAUAGUGCCUCUGUAGGAUGUGGUGAGAACGGGGGGAGGGAGCUGGUUGUUGGUUCUGCACCAGUAACUCCUCUUCCUCCUAUCCAGGAGAUCGCAAAAAGCCGCUGCCUGACCAGGGCUCAGAAAAUCUGCGGAGACUCCUCCCACCCCCACCAAAGACUGUUUUCACUGCUGGACUCUAGAAAGAGGUUCCGCAGCCUCCGUAGCAGAACCUCCAGAGAAUCAACAGCGAGGCAUCAACACGGCGCAACCAAACUUGAUAGUUGACUGUCACGCCGGGGUCGCAUUUUACUGCGUGGGGUCGUUUUCCCAAGUUGCAGACGGAACUCCGGAGGCAAGGUGCAGGAUGAUGGUGAGAUGUUUUCCCAACGUGUGAGAGGACAAAGUAGAGAAGAGAGGACUAGAACGGGGGCGCCUCCUUUCUCUAAAGAGCCAGACGUUCCCCAGGUACCUCAGCGCUAUUCGUCAACAGCUUUUCAUGGGCUGUGAGAAAUCAAUGCGCUCUGCGCGGCAAACAGUUUAUAAUAAC